CCUACGGGUGGCAGCAGUGGGGAAUAUUUCACAAUUUUUUAAACCCUUAUUCCUCUCCUCCUCGUUAUUGAAGAAGUAUCUCGGUAUGUAAAGCUCUAUCAGCAGGGAAGAAAAUGACGGUACCUGACUAAGAAGCCCCGGCUAACUACGUGCCAGCAGCCGCGGUAAUACGUAGGGGGCAAGCGUUAUCCGGAUUUACUGGGUGUAAAGGGAGCGUAGACGGCGCUGCAAGUCCGGAGUGAAAGCCCAUGGCUUAACCAUGGUACUGCUCUGGAAACUGUGGAGCUUGAGUGCGGGAGGGGCAGGCGGAAUUCCUAGUGUAGCGGUGAAAUGCGUAGAUAUUAGGAGGAACACCGGCGGCGAAGGCGGCCUGCUGGACCGUAACUGACGUUGAGGCUCGAAAGCGUGGGGAGCAAACAGGAUUAGAUACCCCAGUAGUC
rnacentral:rRNA from 1 species